ncrna:Desulfosporosinus meridiei DSM 13257 Purine riboswitch
UUCUUGUAUAAGCUCAAUAAUAUGGUUUGAGCGUCUCGACCAGGCAACCAUAAAUUGCCCAGGCUACAUGAA